rnacentral:rRNA from 1 species
AUUGAACGCUGGCGGCAUGCCUUACACAUGCAAGUCGAACGGUAACAGGUCUUCGGAUGCUGACGAGUGGCGAACGGGUGAGUAAUACAUCGGAACGUGCCCGAUCGUGGGGGAUAACGAAGCGAAAGCUUUGCUAAUACCGCAUAAGAUCUACGGAUGAAAGCAGGGGACCGCAAGGCCUUGCGCGAACGGAGCGGCCGAUGGCAGAUUAGGUAGUUGGUGGGAUAAAAGCUUACCAAGCCGACGAUCUGGAGCUGGUCUGAGAGGACGACCAGCCACACUGGGACUGAGACACGGCCCAGACUCCUACGGGAGGCAGCAGUGGGGAAUUUUGGACAAUGGGCGAAAGCCUGAUCCAGCCAUGCCGCGUGCAGGAUGAAGGCCUUCGGGUUGUAAACUGCUUUUGUACGGAACGAAAAGACUCUUUCUAAUAAAGAGGGUCCAUGACGGUACCGUAAGAAUAAGCACCGGCUAACUACGCGCCAGCAGCCGCCGUAAAAC